rnacentral:rRNA from 1 species
UACGUAGGGGGCUAGCGUUGUCCGGAAUCAUUGGGCGUAAAGAGCGUGUAGGCGGCCCGGUAAGUCCGCUGUAAAAGUCCAAGGCUCAACCUUGGGAUGCCGGUGGAUACUGUCGAGCUCGAGUCCGGAAGAGGAGUGUGGAAUUCCUGGUGUAGCGGUGAAAUGCGCAGAUAUCAGGAGGAACACCAAUGGCGAAAGCAGCUUUCUGGGACGGUAGCUGACGCUGGAGACGCGAAAGCGUGGGAGCGAACAGG